GAUGAAGAACGUAGCGAAAUGCGAUACUUGGUGUGAAUUGCAGAAUCCCGUGAACCAUCGAGUCUUUGAACGCAAGUUGCGCCCGAAGCCAUUAGGCCGAGGGCACGUCUGCCUGGGCGUCACACGUCGUUGCCCCCCCAUCUACUCCUUCGGGAUUGCGGGGGGCGGAUGAUGGCCUCCCGUGCGCCUCGCCGCGCGGUUGGCAUAAAUGCCAAGUCCUCGGCGACGCACGCCACGACAAUCGGUGGUUGCGAAACCUCGGUUGCCCGUCGUGUGCGGUCGUCGCGCAUCGAGGGCUCGAAAAAAUUGCCGGGUUCCGGCUCGGCUUUCAACGCGACCCCAGGUCAGGCGGGGUUACCCGCUGAAUUUAAGCAUAUCAAUAAGCGAGGA
rnacentral:misc_RNA from 1 species